GACGAACGCUGGCGGCGUGCUUAACACAUGCAAGUCGAACGGAAAGGGCCUGCUUCUGUGGGGUGCGCGAGGGGCGAACGGGUGAGUAACACGUGAGUAACCUGCCCUUGACUGGGGGGUGACGUCAGUAAACUGGAGCUAAUACCGCAUAAGAACUCCUGCUGCAGGGUGGGGGUUGGAUAGUUUCGGCGUCUGGGGGUAGACGCGCGGCUUAUCAGGUUGUUGGUGGGGUAGUGGCUUACCAAGGCUUUGACGGGUAGGCGGCCUGGGAGGGUGACCGGCGACCAUGGGACUACGGUACGGCCCAGCAGCCUCCGGGAGGCAGCAGUGGGGAGUAUUGUACAGCAAGGGGAAGUCUGCUGACGAAGCGCUGCGGGCGGGAUGAAGGCCUGCAGGUGGUCAACAGCUUCCGUAGGUGACGAAGCGGGAGUGACGGUAACGGGUAAAGAAGCACCGGCUAACUACGUG
rnacentral:rRNA from 1 species